rnacentral:rRNA from 1 species
CCUACGGGGGGCAGCAGUGGGGAAUAUUGGGCAAUGGGCGCAAGCCUGACCCAGCAACGCCGCGUGAAGGAAGGAGGCUUUCGGGUUGUAAACUUCUUUUAAGAGGGAAGAGCAGAAGACGGUACCUCUUGAAUAAGCCACGGCUAACUACGUGCCAGCAGCCGCGGUAAUACGUAGGUGGCAAGCGUUGUCCGGAUUUACUGGGUGUAAAGGGCGUGCAGCCGGGAAGACAAGUCAGAUGUGAAAUCCCGCGGCUCAACCGCGGAACUGCAACUAAAACUAUCUUUCUUGAGUGCUGGAGAGGA